CCUACGGGAGGCAGCAGUGGGGAAUUUUGGACAAUGGGCGCAAGCCUGAUCCAGCAAUGCCGCGUGAGUGAAGAAGGCCUUCGGGUUGUAAAGCUCUUUUGUCAGGGAAGAAACGGUGGGAGCUAAUAUCUCCCGCUAAUGACGGUACCUGAAGAAUAAGCACCGGCUAACUACGUGCCAGCAGCCGCGGUAAUACGUAGGGUGCAAGCGUUAAUCGGAAUUACUGGGCGUAAAGCGUGCGCAGGCGGUUUUGUAAGUCUGUCGUGAAAGCCCCGGGCUCAACCUGGGAAUUGCGAUGGAGACUGCAAGGCUUGAAUCUGGCAGAGGGGGGUAGAAUUCCACGUGUAGCAGUGAAAUGCGUAGAGAUGUGGAGGAACACCGAUGGCGAAGGCAGCCCCCUGGGUCAAGAUUGACGCUCAUGCACGAAAGCGUGGGGAGCAAACAGGAUUAGAUACCCUGGUAGUCCACGCCCUAAACGAUGUCUACUAGUGUCGGGUUUUAAUUAACUUGGUAACGCAGCUAACGCGUGAGUAGACCGCCUGGGAGUACGUCGCAGNUUAAACNAAAGAUUGAGNGNGNGNGNGCGAGNGNAGAGGAGAG
rnacentral:rRNA from 1 species